AGCGAACGCUGGCGGCGUGCCUAACACAUGCAAGUCGAACGUGAAAAGGGAAACCUGAGUAAAGUGGCGUACGGGUGCGUAACGCGUAGGUAAUCUACCCCAGAAUCUGGAAUAACCUGCCGAAAGGCGGGCUAAUACUGGAUAGAGCGAGGGAACUCGUAAGAGAGUUUUUCGGGAAAGGGAGCCCGCAAGGGCCUUCGUUCUGGGAUGAGCCUGCGUCUCAUUAGCUAGUUGGUAAGGUAACGGCUUACCAAGGCGAUGAUGAGUAGCUGGUCUGAGAGGAUGAUCAGCCACACUGGAACUGAAACACGGUCCAGACUCCUACGGGAGGCAGCAGUGGGGAAUCUUGCGCAAUGGACGAAAGUCUGACGCAGCCACGCCGCGUGAGUGAAGAAGGCCUUCGGGUUGUAAAGCUCUGUCGGAUGGGACGAACAUCUUCAUAGUGAAUAGCUAUGAGGACUGACGGUACCAUCAAAGGAAGCACCGGCUAACUCCGUG
rnacentral:rRNA from 1 species